rnacentral:rRNA from 1 species
GUCCGGAAUUAUUGGGCGUAAAGAGCUCGUAGGCGGUUUGUUGCGUCGGCUGUGAAAACCUGAGGCUCAACCUCAGGCCUGCAGUCGAUACGAGCAGACUAGAGUGUUGCAGGGGAGACUGGAAUUCCUGGUGUAGCGGUGAAAUGCGCAGAUAUCAGGAGGAACACCGGUGGCGAAGGCGGGUCUCUGGGCAACAACUGACGCUGAGGAGCGAAAGCGUGGGGAGCGAACAGGAUUAGAUACCCUGGUAGUCCACGCCGUAAACGUUGGGCGCUAGGUGUGGGGCUCAUUCCACGAGUUCCGUGCCGCAGCUAACGCAUUAAGCGCCCCGCCUGGGGAGUACGGCCGCAAGGCUAAAACUCAAAGGAAUUGACGGGGGCCCGCACAAGCGGCGGAGCAUGUUGCUUAAUUCGAUGCAACGCGAAGAACCUUACCUAGGCUUGACAUGCACGGAAAUCCUCCAGAGAUGGUGGGUCCGCAAGGGUCGUGCACAGGUGGUGCAUGGUUGUCGUCAGCUCGUGUCGUGAGAUGUUGGGUUAAGUCCCGCAACGAGCGCAACCCUCGUUCUAUGUUGCCAGCACGUAAUGGUGGGGACUCAUAGGAGACUGCCGGGGUCAACUCGGAGGAAGGUGGGGAUGACGUCAAAUCAUCAUGCCCCUUAUGUCUAGGGCUGCAAACAUGCUACAAUGGCCGGUACAAAGGGCUGCGAUACCGCGAGGUGGAGCGAAUCCCAAAAAGCCGGUCUCAGUUCGGAUUGGGGUCUGCAACUCGACCCCAUGAAGUUGGAGUCGCUAGUAAUCGCAGAUCAGCAACGCUGCGGUGAAUACGUUCCCGGGCCUUGUACACACCGCCCGUCACGUCACGAAAGUCGGUAACGCCCGAAGCCGGUGGCCCAACCCUUGGGAGGAGC